GGAUGCGGUCAUACCAGCACUAAAGCACCGGAUCCCAUCAGAACUCCGAACUUAAGCGUGCUUGGGCGAGAGUAGUACGAGGAUGGGUCGGGACGUUCUUGUACUUAAAACGACCGGAACGGCAUUUU
rnacentral:rRNA from 1 species